rnacentral:rRNA from 1 species
GAGUUUGAUCGUGGCUCAGGACGAACGCUGGCGGCGUGCUUAACACAUGCAAGUCGAGCGGAGAGGCCCUUCGGGGUACUCGAGCGGCGAACGGGUGAGUAACACGUGAGCAACCUGCCCUAGGCUUUGGGAUAACCCUCGGAAACGGGGGCUAAUACCGAAUAUUACUUGGUCUCGCAUGAGGUUGGGUGGAAAGUUUUUCGGCCUAGGAUGGGCUCGCGGCCUAUCAGCUUGUUGGUGGGGUAAUGGCCUACCAAGGCGACGACGGGUAGCCGGCCUGAGAGGGCGACCGGCCACACUGGGACUGAGACACGGCCCAGACUCCUACGGGAGGCAGCAGUGGGGAAUAUUGCACAAUGGGCGGAAGCCUGAUGCAGCGACGCCGCGUGAGGGAUGACGGCCUCGGUUGUAACCGUACUUUCUAGUCAGGACGAAGACGAGAGUGACGGUACC